GAUGAACGCUGGCGGCGUGCUUAACACAUGCAAGUCGAACGGGAAUUAUUUUAUUGAAACUUCGGUCGAUUUAAUUUAAUUCUAGUGGCGGACGGGUGAGUAACGCGUGGGUAACCUGCCUUAUACAGGGGGAUAACAGUCAGAAAUGGCUGCUAAUACCGCAUAAGCGCACAGAGCUGCAUGGCUCAGUGUGAAAAACUCCGGUGGUAUAAGAUGGACCCGCGUUGGAUUAGCUUGUUGGCAGGGUAACGGCCUACCAAGGCGACGAUCCAUAGCCGGCCUGAGAGGGUGAACGGCCACAGUGGGACUGAGACACGGCCCAGACUCCUACGGGAAGCAGCAGUGGGGAAUAUUGCACAAUGGGGGAAACCCUGAUGCAGCGACGCCGCGUGAAGGAAGAAGUAUCUCGGUAUGUAAACUUCUAUCAGCAGGGAAGAUAGUGACGGUACCUGACUAAGAAGCCCCGGCUAACUACGUG
rnacentral:rRNA from 1 species